AAUGCUCAUGGAUUAGUUUUCUACUUAACUACAAAGACAUAUUUUUGCUUUUGUUUGUUUGAAAGCAAAUGACGGAGACACUUUGUUCCAUAAGGAACAACUCAUCCCCCCUAGAUGGGGUAAGGAAGAAGCAGACCACGGCGGGGUGACCCCAGAGGCAGACCCAGGACCCUGUGAGGGAAGCCUUGGAGAAGCAGGAUCUCCUACGAGCUAAGCGCUUCACCCUCCUCAUCUCAAAUCAGACCCAUGAGAGCCCGAGACCAACACCACAGACAAGAAGAAAACAGCACCGCAGGAGGAGUCGAUGUUUUGCCCUAAGUCAAGCAGCUGAUAAGCAGCAGAACCAGGACUGAAGCCUGAGUCCCUUGGACCCCAAAGCCUGCCUUUGGACCCAUUGUAGAAGACUGUGGGGCACCGCUGGAGUACGGAUGGUGUCCCUGAGAGUUUUGCAGUGGCCGUCCUGAGCAGCUGUGACUGGCAGUCCUGUAUGUGUUCCUCUGAGCCGCACUGAGGUGGUGGGAUUAGCUGGUAAAGCACCUUCCAGGAGAACUGGGAACGUAUAAGCUGAGGCACUGGAGUAGAAACUUUCGUGAUGAUGAGGUGGAAAUCAGGCUGACCAAGACAUGGGACAUACGCUAGGAAACCCCGAGAGAUCUGGGCAAAUAGACAAGGUUGCCCUGACUGACAGGCACACAGGGAAGGUUCUCAACCUUCCUGAGUCCUCCAGGGCCCAGCUCCUGCCAUUGACAAGUACCAGGUGCCAGAUGACUAAUGAGGUGCUCACCCUGCUCUGAAAGUAGGACUUGUCCCUGCAGCCUGGCUUCCGGGGACCCUCGCACAGGCUGGAGGGCAGAGGGCCGCGGCUCGCACUGUUGAUAUUCUCCCCAGGUCCCACCUGGCGUUUUUCCUCACUUUGCUUCCCACUGCCGUUGGGAAGUUUCAUCAGCUGUAAGAAGCAUGACCUUAGAGUGCUUGGCGCCUGAAGGAGUGCUAGGAUGGUCCCCAGAACCACUCUGCCUCAUGCCUCAAGCAUAUCCUGGACGUCCAGGGGGCUGGCAGGGAAAGUGAUGGGAUUUCUUUCUGAUUCUCUGCCUCCACCCUCCGUCAUUCCAGCUCCAUUCUGGAGGCUGCCUGGCUGGGCAGGUUUAAACAGCAGGUACUUUGGCGGAGGGGGCGGGUGGUGCUCUGCACUUGCCUCAGCGUCCCAGUGUGCAGAGGAUCCUCAAGGUCAGGGGGACAUGGCCACAUCUCUGGGCUCUGCAGAGCUGAGAAGCCCCAGCACCCAGGCACACACACCCGAUGUAGUCAGCCUCGCUCUUCGCUUCCACGCUGAUCAGCUUCCCACCGCUGUUUGAACAUCCGAAACAGCUUCUAAAGUGAAAAGCUUAUUUGGCUCAGGGUUUGGAGGGGUUAGUCCAUGGUGCACUGGCUGAUGCUUUUCUAUCUGUGGUAAGGCAGAAUAUCAGGGCAGAAGCACACGGCAGAGCAAAGACAUGCACCUCAGGCUGGGAAGCAAAAGAGAAAGAGGAAGGGGUGAGGUCCCAGUGCCCCCCUCAAGGGGACACCAGUGACUCAAAGGCCUCCCGCUAGGCCCCAACCUCAGGGUUUCCAUUACCUCCUAGUGUGGCCAUGGGCUGGGAUCAAGCCUUCAACACAUGGACCUCUGGGGCACAUUUUAGAUGCAAAUUGUGGCCUCCCUUUCCCAGGAGCCCCUGUGCCCCGCUUCAGACAGUGAGUCCAUCACCCAGGACCAGCGACAGAAACCCUGUCCAUGCUGGCUUCAGGAAAAGGGAAUUGGUCUGCUGAUGGAGUGGCCAACCAUGCCUCAGGCCAGCAAGGGACACACCUACACCUCUGUGUGCCUGGCACCCAGGACCGAAGGUGACUGCAUCCUUUUCCCCCUCUCUUCUCCCUGCUCCCCAAUGUGUCAAAUUCCUCCUCGCUCGCCUCAGACACCAUCAAGGUCACGGCUCUACCACAUACUAGUCGUAGAACUUGGUCAUAUAAUUCAACAUCUCUUUUGCUGUCUUGGGGACUGAACCCAGAGACUUCUUA